AAUAAACAGAUCUUUUCUAGAUUAAAAUAAUAAAAUUAUGAACUCGUUUUUGCGACUGAUUUAUUCAAUCAAUAUAACUCAACUCUCUUUUAUUUUCACAAACUACUAUCUUUUAAAAAACUAAUCAACCAAGUUCUAUGUUGACAUACGAAUAUUCAAUGAUCCAAAACUUCAGGCUUCAAUAGAAUUUCCUCAUAUUAUGAUGUUAUAGGCAAUAUGGAAAUAACACAAGCUGUAAUAAGUAUUUAUAAUGGAUUCAAGGGGAAGCGAGUCCCUUAUCUGCCGAAUAGCAUAGAAGGACGAGCUUAAUUUACCACAUACAUGAUGUAUAUGAUCAGUCCAUCUCUAAUUUUCGUCAACAUAUAAACCUAGAAAUUUAACUGAGUUAUUGGACAUUAACUCAUUGCCCAGGCAAUUACUUGAAAUUGAUUCACCUAAGGCGUUCUUAAUUUCAAAAAUUAUCAAUUCAGUCUUAGGAAUAUUAAUAAUGAGAGUAUCAGCUUUACACCAUUACACAAAACCAUCAACCAAGAGCUCGCAGCGUCGUAUAAGUUGAGGAAAACUCCGAGCCGAGACCGCCACCGAAGUAUCAUCCAUAAAAAUGACAGGCCAUUCGAAAACGAAAUCAGGCAAAACAUGAAUGAAGAGUAUAAAAAGCAAAGGCCCCAACACGGACCCCUGAGUAACCCCCAAGUCGUUCGUGAACAUACGAGGGACUGAAUUACCGACUUCAACAGACGUAGUCCUGUCUGAAAUUAAACUUUGAAUCCAACUGAGAAAUAUCCCCCUAAAUCCGAUAUUAUGCAACUUGUUUACAAUAAACUGAGGACCAACGCAAUGAAAAGCCCUCGUAAGAUCAAAAAAUACACUCGAAACAAGAAGACCGUCAACCAGAGAACGAUAAAUAAAAUCAAAAAAGUGCAAGGCAGCCGUUUUCGUCGAUCUUCCAGGUCUAAACCCGUGUUGGCAGCUGGAAAUUUUAAGAGAAAACUCAUCAUACGGUUCAAUACUAUUCGUUCAAUGACCUCAGAGAAGACUCUUAGUAUGGAAAUUGGUCCAUAGUUGGGCAUAUUACAAGGAUCAUUUCUCUUAUAGAUCAGAAGUACUAGUGCAUGUUUCAAGAUAGUAGGAAACGUACCAGUUGUAACUGAAAAAUUAAUCAGAAAUGCAAUAUGUUCCGCUAUGUAAUCCGCUGUUUCCUUGGAAAUCCUGACUGAUACAAAAUCAGCACCACGGCUUUUUUUGUUCUUGAGCGAUUUGGCAACAUUUAAAAUUUCAACUUUAUCUACCGGAUGAAAGCAAAAGGUUUCAGUUCAAAUUGAACUUAGCGUACAACACUCCGACAGGUUAUUACUAUAAUUUUCGAGAAUGCAGGUUUUAGCAAUCGACGAAAAAUAAUUCGCAAAGGCAUCAGCAAGUGCAUCUGAAUCGGAACAUAAUGAACCGUUCAGACCCAAUUUGAUGUCAACAUCAUGCUUCGAUCUACCUGUCUCUUGAUUCACAAUUCCAAAUCGUUGUAUUUUUAUCAUCUGACAUAUUGAUGAGAUUUUUGUGGUAAUUUAACUUUGAAGUCUUAAGCAGCAAAUUAUAGUCAGUUUUAGCUUUCUGAUAUACUGUCAAAGCAUGUUGAGUGCUAGAAUUUCUCAAUAGCCAAUGUAGUUCUUUGAGUUUUUGACUAGCCACCUUAAUUUCGGGUGUCAGCCUCCUCAGAUUUGACCUUUUUACAACAUCUUGGUGUCUCAUUGAAAAACAAUUAUUUAUUCAGGACUGCCCAAUGUCAAUGAACGAAUUGAAGGAUUCAUUAAUGUCAGAUGCCAUGUAAACAUCAUCAAAAUUGGCGAGUGAAAUCUCCAUUACAAGAUUCUGUAGGGCUUCAGUUGUUAUGUUCCGAGUAAAAGUGUACCUUUGUGCUCUUGUAGGAAGGAGCUUUAACACUAGAUUGAAAAAAAAUCAAGGCAGAUUAUCAUGUGAUUGCUAAAGUGACCCUCGAACACAGUCGUCCGACAAUGAUUUGAAUCAGAAUAAAUUAGUAUAUAAUCUACCUUGGUAUUGGAUGUAUGACCUAACACAUUCGUAAAAAUACGAGUUGGCUGUGAAGAAGAUAUCUUCAUAUUGAAAGAAAGCAUCAGAUCAGUCAGAAGAUUACUAUCUCUACAGUUGCUCAAAAAAUCAAUAUUGAGAUCACCGCACAAAAUGAUAAAUUCACCGAGUUACUAUAGUAGUCAAGAAUAUACAACCUCUCAAGAAUGAUGUUCACACUUCCUGAAGGAGGUCUAUAGAGUAUAGACACUCAGAACACAAAUUUUCAAAUAAUCGAAAAUAACCCUUACCCCACAGAACUCGCAUUCCAUUUCCUGAGAAAAUCUGGAAAUAUCCAUGUUGUUACUGAAGUCCAGAUCUGGCAAAGAUAGCAAUACCACCAUGCUGUCGUAAUGAUCGACAGAAACUUGAUACCAGUUUGAAUCCAGGUAUUGCCAUUACGCUUAGAUUGACGUCUUUGCACCAAUGUUCAGCAAUACUGAUGAUAGAUGAAUUGCUAUCUGACACAAAAACACUCAAGUUGUUGAUUUUGUUUCAAAGUGAUUGAGCAUUUAGUUGUUAUUUCCGAAAGCUGAAUUCACAUUCUAUAUAUACUUCCAUGAACAUUUGUAUUGUUCAGAUUCAGCGAUGUUGACUGACUGUUUUGCGCUGAUAAAAAGAAAGAACGAUACAUCUAAUGAUUCUAAUGGGCCAAAUUGAUUCAUUCUUCACUUUACCGAAUUCAGUAUCGGGAAUUAAGACCUUGAAUAACUCUCAGGAUAUCUAGAUUUCAAAGCCUUACAUUUUACAUCUCUGAAGUUCUUCUCAAGAAAAGUCUUAAGAUCUUCAGCAGUAGUUUUUGGCUUCAAGUUAGUGACAUGUGAUGCCUUAUAUUUGACGAUUCUCUCUACUGUGGAAUCACCUGAAAAAUUUUUAACGACCAAUAAUAAUAAUAAUUUACUGAUUUAAUUAUUUACCGUGUUUACUUUUUAUUGUAAGGUGAAAUUGGAUUUCAGGGUUAUCACUGAAUAUAUUUAUUGCUUACGAUAGAACUGUCGUUUGAUAGGCAACGUUUCGGGCAGUACCCUGUUUCAAGCCUAUAAAAUAUAUAAAAACAUACUUAAUAAAACAUCACAAUGGAACUAAUAAACAAUCGAACACUUAUAUAAUAUAGUUAAAUUUCAUUUAUAUAAUAAUAAUAAUAACGUUUAUUCACUUGUAAAGGGAAAAAAAAACAUUUUUGUACCAUCAUAGAUUGAAUAAACUCAAACUAUCGAAAAGUGUUGAACACUUGUUUCGAGAUAAGUAAAAUAAGACAAAAAAAAAAAGAAACACACAAAUGAAAGGUAGGCAACAUUAAGCAAUUGUAUAUACAUCCAAAAUCAACAACAAUGGAAAAGUCCACACACACAAUGCAAAACUAUGACAUACAAUGCAUAAAAGAUCUAAAAAUCGCACACAAACAACAUCAACUCCGCAGUUCAACCAGUUCGGCAAACACUCCCCGACGCUGGGUCAUGAUGAAUUCCCUCAACCUGUUUCUGAAUCUCGAUAAUCCAGUGAUGUGCUGAAUCUCUAGAGGUAUAAAAUUGUAUAACCUUGGAGCAGUAUAAGAAAAUGAUCGCUGUCCAACACAUUUUUGCACCCUCGGUAGAAUGAAAAGCUUUCUUCCUCGGGUCUCAUAGGAAUGUACGGGCAACGAAGAACUCUUUUCGCCGCAACGGUAUUUCAUGGUGAUGCUGAAGUAGUACAACUGUCGAAUAUCAAAAACCUGUGCUUCCAAAAACAAACUAUCCGAUGGGUAUCUAGGACCUUUACCAAGAAUUGUCUUCAAAAACCGUUUGUGCAAGACUUCAAGUUUGAGGAUAUGAGUCUUCAAAGCAUUCCCCCAACAAACUAUACCAUAACGCAGAUGACUCUCGACCAGAGCAUGAUACAGGAUCUUCAACUGAUGAACAUCCACCAUCACACCCAGGUACUUCACUUUUUCUUCGGGCAGUAUUGUAUACUGUUCUCCUAUUGUGGUAAUAUUGAUAGAUCUAAAAGAUGGCGUCCCAGAUCUAUUACAGCUGAAUGGCAGCUGAUGGAAACCUGUCUCCACAAUGGUCCUGAGAUUCUCCCAAGUAUCUGCUUUAUAAAAAACUACAAUGUCGUACGCAAAUACCAGAACUUC